UGGGGUGGAAUGUGUCAAGCCUCCAGAGAAGUCUGUGCCUGCUGUGCUGGGCUGUCAGAGGCAACCUGCUCGCUCCAGGAGGUGAUGGGGAUCCCCUCAUUCCUAGCCCUCCCUGCUGCCAGGAGUGACCGAGCUGCCUGCACAUCCUGCCAUCCUUUGGGCCACAUGCUACUGUGGACGGCUCUGCUAUUCCUCGCUCCUGUUGCUGGGAAACAUGCAGGUCUCCCGAAGGCUGUGGUGAGCAUUCAGCCUGCGUGGAUCAAUGUGCUCAAGGAGGAUUACGUGACGCUGAUGUGUCAGGGGACCAGCUUGUAUGAAGGCAACCUCACCCUGUGGUUCCAUAAUGGGAGCUUCAUCCAGAGCCAGAACCAGUCCAGCUAUAGCUUUAAGGCCAGCAGCAAUGACAGCGGAGACUACAGGUGUCAGAGAGAGCAGACCAGCCUCAGCGACCCUGUGCAUCUGUACGUGACUUCCGACUGGCUGCUGCUCCAGACCCCUAGCCUCGUGUUCCAGGAAGGGGAGCCCAUCGUGCUGAGGUGCCACAGCUGGAGAAACAGUUCUCUGAAUAAGGUCAUAUUCUUCCAGAAUGGAAAAUCCAAGACGUUUUCCCAUCUGCGUUCCAACUUCUGUAUCCCGCAAGCAAACCUCAGUCACAGUGGCGAGUACCACUGCACGGGAUUUAUCGGGCAGACGGUGUACUCAUCACAGCCUGUGACCAUCACUGUCCAAGGGUCCAGCUGGAGCAACUCCUUGUCGGUGACGAUCGCAGUGGCUGUAGUCGCUUGGAUUGCUGCAAUGGCUAUUGCUGGCACCAUAGUAGCCUGGUUCUGCCUCAGGCGAAAGAUUUCAGCCCUCCCAGGAACCCUUGAACACAGGGAAAUGGGAGAGACCCUCCCUGAGGAACCAGGUGAGUGCAGCUCCCGCUCUGGGGGCUCAAUGACACCCUGUCUUGUGCAUCAAGAAGCUGCUUGUGUGAGUUCUGCUGGGAGCACAGGAGAGGGAGGGGGCAGUGGGCAGAGGGCAGGGGCUCAAAUCUCUUGGUCAGUUCUGAGACUAACUCCUGGGCCUAAAGAGGACCUCACUGGAGACAAGGAGAAGAUGAACACCUGUCCUAGAUAGAGAGGCGAGGGCCUUGUCCGAGUUUCUGGGGUCAGAACUGCUGGGGAUUUUUCCAGAGCAGGACAUCAGAGAUACUUAGGUCUUUCUGUGAAGCUUUGGAAGAGCUGGCAGAGGACUGGGGUUAGACGCUGUAAGACUAAGGCAAAUAGAAUUAAGGGGAUAAAAUUCUAGAGGAAAGGAGAAAGAGCCCUAAGGAAUAAAACCUAGAUUUGCUGCAGAGUCUGUCUCUGUGGAAUGAUUGGGUAAGGGUACCAGGGCUCAGCUCUUAGUGGAACAUUAAGAGGAGAUUUCGGCCUGAGAAAGUUCUGGGGUACCACGUGCAUCAGUGGGCUUUACUCUGUGGGCAAAUCUUGGUUCUAAUGCCCACUCGUGUAGGCUUAUUAAAACGCAGGCCUGGCCCUAGCUCUGUCACUAUCAUAAAAUGGAAUCUUGAGUGUCAUUCCCACUCUUGGGGUUUAGUCACCUCAUUGAGGAGAUGAGUGGGUUGGCCUGGGUGAUCUCUAAGCCCUUCCAGGCCUGACAUUCUGAGAGUCAGUGACCAUCCAAGCCCUGGCCCAAGUGGGAAUGUGUUAAAGGAGCAGUAAUAUUCCAGGCGACUUCCUGACUGCAGUUAAAGCCAGAGCACGAAGGAAACUGGAGCUGUCUCUGGGGACUCCCAGACAGCAGAAACGGACAGGAAAAAGAAGCCUUCGAGGACUCCACCUCAGGUGGCUGGAGUAUGACUCAGAGCAGAGCCAACAGGUUUGAGAGCUUGAGCAAAAUGGCACAGCUGUCCGGCUGCGCUUUGAGCAAGGCCCCUAUGUCCUGUGGCCAGGCCAAAUGGGGAUAUGGACCAGAGUCUUCACCAGGGCCAAAGUGCUGUAGAAAAAAGUGCAAACACAAGUGGAUUAGCCAUUUUGAUGUUUGCUUCUACCUACACCAGCAUAAAUAUAUUUCACAAGGCAUUUAUUUCGCAGGAAGGCACUGGGGCUGAUGGUUUCCCAAAAGGCACAGCUAAGUUGCCGGGAUGGUUGAGGGAUGCAUUAGAAGGAGAAUUCAGGACGUGGUUUGUUCCAGAAGCUGGAGCAUGGCACACAGGGACUCAUUGUGUCCUGGAGAUGAAUGAAGACACUAGAUGCAUUGUCUCAGACUCCCUCCCCACUUCCUGAGGAAUGCUGCUUUGCAGUUACUGAGGCUGCUUUUCGCACUGGCAAAGUGAGUUUAUUGGCAAAAACAUGAGGACAUUUGGAUGUGUCUUAGAUCUUUACCAGGGAGAGUACUGGCUGGGUUGCUUGCUUCCUUCUUUCUUUUCCUCCAGCCUCCCUUGCUCACUCUCACUCUCAUGCUUUCUUUCUUUGUGAGAUCAGGGAGUGUCAGAUUCUUCAAAGUUCCAACAGAGAUAUACUACAUCUGGCCAAUGUGGAAAGGCCACCAUCUGUGGCUGGCAAACAUCUGGAUUACUUCACUCUAAUACCAACACCCCCAUCUCCUCCCCAGUAUAUCUCAGAUCCCCGAAGCUGCCUGGUUGCUUUGAGGAAAACUCAGUGAUCCUCUGAAAUGAGUGCAGCACAAAUGAGCGCCUCCCUCUGCUAGUGUGGCCCGUGCGGGAGGCCAUGUCUGGGAUACCAAGGGUGGGUGGGGGAUGAAGCUUUUGGCCUGCAGGCCUGAGUUGGGGAUCAGUGGUCCUCGCCUCAAGCCUGGUCUGGGCCUCAAGCAGCAGCGCGGGUAGGCAGUGCCCCCGCUGAUCUCUGUUCUUUUUGCCCACAGCCAAUCUCGCUGAUGCUGAAGAGGCUGCCAAAAUGGAGGCUGAGAAUACAGUCACCUAUUCACUUCUCUCGUAUCCGGAAGUUGCAGAGGAAGAAACAGAGUCGUCGGUUUACCAGAACAACAUUUAGUUUUCAUUUUCUUGCCUGGAAC